rnacentral:rRNA from 1 species
UACGGGGGGUGCGAGCGUUGUCCGGAAUCACUGGGCAUAAAGCGCACGUAGGCGGCGGCGUAAGUCGGGUGUGAAAUCCCUCGGCCCAACCGAGGAACUGCGCCCGAUACUGCGUUGCUUGAGGAUCAGAGGGGUGCACGGAAUUUCCGGUGGAGCGGUGAAAUGCGUUGAUAUCGGAAGGAAUGUCGGCGGCGAAAGCGGUGCACUGGCUGAUUUCUGACGCUGAGGUGCGAAAGCCAGGGGAGCAAACGGG